UACAGAGGUCCCGCGCGUUAAUCGGAAUUACUGGGCGUAAAGCGCACGUAGGCGGCUUGGUAUGUCGGGUGUGAAAUCCCCGGGCUCAACCUGGGAAUGGCGGUGGAUACUGAGGAGCUAGAGUGCGGUAGAGGAGGGUGGAAUUCCCGGUGUAGCGGUGAAAUGCGUAGAGAUCGGGAGGAACAUCAGUGGCGAAGGCGGCCCUCUGGACCAGCACUGACGCUGAGGCACGAAAGCGUGGGGAGCAAACAGG
rnacentral:rRNA from 1 species